UUGACCAAGUGAAGUUCGGGCCUCGAAUGAGGAAAGUCACUGAACCAUAUCCUGAUUUGCAUGGCUCUUAUGAUGACGACUGGAGUCUCUCUGGAGAUGAAGACAACUCGCCGAGCCUGCUGGAAUGUGUGGAGCAAGCUCUGCAGCUGAGGAGUUUAACCAUCAGGAGGGCUCCCUCUACUGAUGUG